GGCUCCAUGUUAAACCGCUAUUAAAACCUAAAAGAAAAAUAAAUAUAUAAAAAAAAUAAAAACUAAAAAAACCCUAUGGGAAACAAAUAAAACCGCUCAGCAGCUUCGUUUCUCGUUUCUUCCCUUCUUAUCUUUUACUCAUAACCUUUGCUUCUCACUUUCAAGUCUCAAGACUCCUGAUCAUCGAAGCGGUGAAACUCAAUCACCCUAAACCCUUCACAAGGCAACGCUUCCCUUGUCACUGAAAGAGUGCGACAUCGAGUUUGAGAAUGGGCGGUUGAAUUACUGGGUUCUUGUUUUUCAUUGUGAGAAUGGGCGGUUGAAUUACUUAGAAUCAAUCUUCAUUGUAGCGCACAAGAAGGCUAAGCUCGAAAAUGGCGUCAAAGGAAUAUCCAUUUCUGUCGAUAUAUACAACUGUGGAUUUUUGUAUACUCUCCUUUUCUCUCUCCUAAUUUUGCGUUUGCGAUUAUGGUUUCAAAUCUUAUUUUCAUUUGAAGUUUUUAAAUUGAACGCUCGUGUGCUUGAUUUUGGUUGCAUAUUGAUUUGGAGGAGUCAAUUCUGUUGGAAUUGAUAUUUGAUUACAAUUUUGUUGCUUAAUCUUGGAUUUUGUGCACUUGAUUAAUUUUUUGAGUUGCGAAUUGAUUGAGAAAUAGUAUAAUUGUUUGUUAAUCUAAAAAUUAAACUGAUUUCACACGAAUUAGUUACUAUUUAAAGUACUACCGUAGUGAAAAACUAGCUAGAAUCAGUUUCCUAGAAAAAACAUAUUGAAGAUUAAAGUUCUCUAGUGUGUAUGUCCAAUUUUCUAUUUUACUCCAAAUACAUGUCCUGUAGUUUUGAUAAUGUGAUUGCCAUUGACAAAAAAAUCGCAUUUCUGUUAGACCUCAUUAAUGAAAUAGCAGUAAAGUAACUAGUGAUAACCAAAUAUCGCGUUCUCUUGUGCCUCAUGAUCGAAACAGUAGUAAUGACUAAUGAGUAUAAGGAACAAAAUCACAUUUCAAUUUCAUUAGAUCUCAUGAAUGAAAUUGGAGUCAUGAGUACAAGUACGACCGAAAAUCAUAUUUCAAAAACCCCAUGAGGCCAUAUGUAACUAUUUCAUAAUUUUAUUGAUAUUACCUAAACUAGUCAAAGGGACUUAAUAAGUAUUGCAGCUGUUUUUGGCAUGAAUGGAUGAAGCCUUGACAGAUUCUAGAAUUGACGUUUGGAUUAUUGGCUACUUUCAUUUGUUCUUACACUAUAGUCCAAGGCGAAUUUGAUGCAUUAAGUUCCAGUUCAUGUCAAUUUUGUUAUGCCUAAUAAAGUGAUAACAAGUGAGUUUCGCACUGGUGCUAUUUUUUUCCUGUACAGAAUGUCCCUCGGUCUUACUGUAUAUGAGAUUUGGAAGGAAAGAAACCAAUGGAGAUUCCAUAAAUGUUUUCAGACUUGACAUCAGAUUCUGCAGAUGAUUCAGAUCAGCGCUCAUAUCAGAAUUUUACAGAAGGGGAAAAACUGCAGACUUUCUGUACUCGUUAAUCUUUUAUGUAGUAUUAGUGCUCCUCUAUGCAUUUUGGUUGCUCUUCUAGUGUGUGCCUCUAUUCUGCUAGCUACUGCUAACUGCAGGGUACUGCUUUGAGGGGAGGCCUGUUGGCUUGCUGCUGUUAUCUGUGCAGGCUGAUCUAUUGUACAGAUGCUUGUUUUUGCUAUGUUUAGGCUAGGUGCAGCUUCUCUGCACAGGAUGGGUGCUGCUGCUUAUGUUGUUACGCUUCUUUGCACAGAACUGUGUAUAAUGUAAGCCUGCCGACAAGCUGGCCAGCGGAUUCAUUGGAUGUUGUAUGAGGCAACUUUUCAAGAUCGUGGGACAACCUUGAUGUAUUUUCCAAGUUAUAACAAAGAGCAGAUUGACGAAGUAAGAACUCAAUGGGUGCACCAUGUUGUCUAACAACUGUAUAUUAGCUCGGUUACGUUGAAUGAACCAAUAAUUGUACAGUUGUAUUAAUUAAUGUAUGUUGCGUAGUUUAAUGUUUGUGUUCUUAUUUUAGAACAUCUCUAUGUAAUCGGUUUUAUUAGGUUGACGUACAAUUGAAAAUUCUUUAUAAUGAGGUGUGGAAAUUAAUAUACGAUUAUUUUUACUCUUCAA